rnacentral:rRNA from 1 species
UACGAAGGGGGCUAGCGUUGUUCGGAAUUACUGGGCGUAAAGCGUAUGCAGGCGGACUUUUAAGUCGGGGGUGAAAUCCCGAGGCUCAACCUCGGAACUGCCUUCGAUACUGGAAGUCUUGAGUCCGGGAGAGGUGAGUGGAACUCCGAGUGUAGAGGUGAAAUUCGUAGAUAUUCGGAAGAUCACCAGUGGCGAAGGCGGCUCACUGGCCCGGUACUGACGCUGAGAUACGAAAGCGUGGGGAGCAAACAGG